rnacentral:tRNA from 1 species
AAUUAUAUAUUCUAAGAUAGGAUUUUAAAUUGCAAAUUUAAAGGUAAAUAUUAAUUUUAUAAUUU